GGGGGCGUAGCUCAGUUGGGAGAGCGCAGCGUUCGCAAUGCUGAGGUCAAGAGUUCGAACCUCUCCGUCUCCACCA
rnacentral:tRNA from 1 species